CUUGCGUUGGUUAAUUCCUUUGGUAUUCCUGAUGCUUUUUUGAGCCCUAUGGCAUACAACUGGGUGGAGUCAAAUUCUUGGUCUUCUGCUCAACAUUAAUCCCUGAUGCCAAUUUCUGCACGUGAGGCGUAUCAUAUGCUUAUGUGAUUCUUUAAUUUAAUUUCCCAGAUGGUUUUUAUUUGCAAAAGAAUUUUCCAUAUCAAUAAGGAAAUGUGAAUAAUAUUUGUUACUUUAUAUGUAAUAGCCGUUGGAAUAUAUUCAGAUCUGAUGAAUACUUUUACUGGAACAUGACAAUAUUAAAUUGCAAUAUUAAAAAUAAUCCUAUACACGUCUAAAUACUUCUGUAAAUGCUAUUAUAUACUCAAUUUUGAUGAUAUAUAUGAGAAAAAUAAAGCUCAACAGCUUGUACCAAACAAAUUUUUUAACAGUUAAACCGGUCUCAUGGUAAGACAAAUCGUCUUGUGGCUCUAAUAAUAUAAAAAAUUAAAUUAAUAAAAAGUCUCAUAUUUUACUAUUUUUAAAAUUAAAGGUAACAAAAUUUUAUAUACAAUUAAUAUUGUUAGUUGACUUUAAUAUUAAAUUAAAAAUAAUAAAUAAAAUUCAAUACAUAAAGUUAUUAAAUAAUUUUAUAUUCUAAAACAUAAAAAUAGCAUUUAAAUCAAAAUUUAGUACUAACUUUAUAUAUAUAUAUAUAUAUAAUAUAUAUAAUGUAUAUAUAUAUAUAUAUUAUAUAUUUAUAUAUAUAUAUAUAUAUAUAUAUAUAUAUACUAUAUAUAUAAAUAAUAUAUAUAUAUAUAUAAUAUUGGUUUUAGUACUUUUAUAAAUUGAAAAAUAUUAGAAUCAGUAGAAAGUUUAUUUUCUUAAAUAAAUUUUAAUUUACAAUUCUUUUUUAGGAGAUCUAGUCAAACAUUAAAAAAAUCAAACAUAUUAAAAUUAAUUAUACACCUUUUUAAAAUUAUUUUUGAUUAAAAAAAUAAAAAUAAAGAUAACUUAUCAAAAUUUUAAAGUAUGUAUUUUUUUAAUCAUUAUAUAUUUAUUUUUUUGUAUUUGCACCAUUAAAUUCACUUUCUUCUAUUAGAUUUAUAUUUUCUCUUAUUUAUAUCAAUGACAUACUUUCCCCAUUCAUUAUUUUAUUUUAUAUACAUUUCAAUUAGUAACAUAUUAAUUUAGUUCAAUAAUUCACUUUUUCUCGUAAAUUCUUUUGUGUUUGCAUCAAUCAAACAGAAAAAAAAAUAGUCGUAUCAACCAUAUAUUUUUUAUUAUUAUAAAAAUAUUUAAAUCAAAAAAUUUAUUAUUUUCCCAUUUCUAUAAAAUGAUUAGAAAUCAGAAUAUAUAAUAAGGGUGUAAGAAAGAAUAAGCAUCAUUAAACUAAACAAAAUAAAACUAUAAAAUAAUACCAUAAGUAAAAAAAUAUAUCAAUGAAUAUGAAAAAAAAAGAUGAAACCAUUUUAUCAUUAAUAUAAAAUUUUAUGUGUUACUAUAUAUAUCUAAGUUGUAGCCAAAACUCAAAUUAUAGUUAUGAUUUGCGUAGUACUUUAGCUAACCAAGUCAGUGUUAUGUUAAUUACUUGGUAGUAACUUAGUUAACAAGUAACUUUUAUAUAUAUAUAUAUAGUAAUAUAUAUAUAUAUAUAUAAUAUAUAUUAUUAUAUAUAUAUAUAAUAAUAAUAUAUAUAUUAUAUAAUAAUAUAUAAUAUAUAUAUAUAUAUAUAUAAUUUUUACAAUAACAUGAUUCAAUAAUAAUAAUAUUUAUUCUUCAUUCUUUCUCUUUCUCUCAUCACUAAAAGUGUCUCAUGCACUAACAAAUUUGUAUCUAGAGUUCAAGUUAGUUUCUUUAUCGUGUUUUCAAGAAUCAAACAUCGGUGAUCGUGUUUCAGGGAUCGUGGGUUGUUAAUCGUGUUUGCUGCAAAGAUGAAUGAUAAUAAUGGUAUUCUGAAUUCUCUUUCAAUUCUUGAUGGCAAGAAUUUGAUCUAAUGGAGAAAAUAAAUGCAAUCUCAGUUUGGCUUUCAUGAAACCCUAGAAGUGGUUACUAAUGACAUCCCUGAGCUUGCUGAGAACGCAACUGAUGCUCAGAGAGUCACGAACAAGGAGACUAAGAAGAAAGACUGCAAGACUGCGUUUUAUAUUCAAUUGGCAGUAAACACGGCGAACUUUGAUCGAAUUUCUCAUGUUGAAUCGGCGAAGGAGGCAUGGAAUAUUCUUGUCAAGUAUUUCGAAUGAGGUGAGAAGGUUAAAGUCAUCAAAUUGCAGUUGUUACGAAGGCAAUAUGAAUUACUACAGAUGGGAGAAUUUUUUUUUGCAUGCUAUGUCUCGAAGAUGUAGAAGCUUGUUCAUCUCAUGAAAGAUUGUGGUGAAACCCUAACUGAUAAGAUGAUAGUUGAGAAGGUAAUGUGUAAAUCAACCUCUCACUUUGAUCAUGUUAUCGUUGCUAUUCAAGAAUCCACCUAUCUUGAAACAUUGAAAUUGGAAAAUUUGAUUGGUUCGUUGGAAGCACAUGAGACGAGGAUUAUCGAAAGGAAAUGUGUUCAAGAUUCAAUACAAACUCUAUAGGCUUAAACAUGGAAGAAACAUCGUGGUUCCAACAAGUUCAAGGGCAUAUGAGACAAGACUCAGAGCAAGAAAAGUCUUGGUCGAACCCUCAAAAGUAUAAGAUCGAUGAUAUGCAUUCUGAAUCCUCGAAAAAAGAAGAGGGAAACUCAUAUUAGAAUGACAAAGACGAGAAAUAAGGUGUGCAGUGCUAUAGUUGCGAAAAAUGGGAUCACCUGGGUCUAUUCAAAAUUUUAAAAGAAUAACAACAAACCUAUAAAGUGCAUCAAACCGAACUUAAAAUAACCAACUUGUUGAUGAUAUAUAUGAACUGAUCAUAAUUUAUCUAUCAAUCUUCCAACUCAAUAAACUAUACUGAAAAUAUUUGAGAAUAAAACAUGUUCCUAUAUGACGUUAAAAAGCUAAAAAUAUUGGUAUAAAAUUUAUAUUUUGAUAUGAUUGACUGAAUUGAGAGAAUGUUUUACGAAAAUAACCCUGUUUUUCAAGAAAAUUCCCAAAAUAACCAUGUUUAAAAAAAAAAUCCCAAAGUACCCCAUGUUUAGAAGGAGGCGCCAAUCCAAUUGGCGACUCCUCUUAAAAAUAGAAUGGAGGUGCCAAUUGAAUUGGCUAGGGCACACGGUGCAGCCAAUCCAAUUGGCGCCCAUGUGUAUCAGUUGAAAUGAGGCACCAAUUGGAUUGACACCUCAGUGUAAAAUUCAAUUUUUUUGUUAAACGGUUUACGUGAUACAUAAUUUCGAAAUAGGACCAAUUGAUAUUAAUAAAAAUUUCCGUUUACACAAAAAAGCCUAAUGGUGAUGACCGAGAUCACCUAACCGACCUCCGGUCCCACAUCCCCUAGCUAUCCUAACCCGCGUUGAUGAUUCACCACUGGUGUUUGAGCAUCACUACCAACUAUAGGAUAUGGCCUGUUGAUAUAGUCAGACAAAUCGGCAUAGUCUUCAGUAUGCAUCGAAGGUGUACCGCCAUAACUGAGUUCAUGACCCAUGCCAGAGUAGUUGGGUUGUGUUUGACUCAUUGGUGGGCGACCGAGACGAUUGAAGGGAGACAUGGGUGUGAAUGAUGCGUCGAGGAAAGGCUGGAAAGGUUGUUGGGGUGUUUGGUAGAGAUAAGGUUGUUGGAGGUUUUGGUUUUGUGAGGUUUGGGAUUCUUGGCUAUGGUAGGAGGAUGGGCGGUUGGUGUUGAAUGAUCGUUGGGUGUUCUGGCUAAGGCGGCUUUGGUAGGGUGAUGUGUUGGGUAGGAAGCGAUGUUGGGUCUCUGGUUGAUGAUCAAUUUGUUGGUGGUGGUAUGAGGUAUGCUCUUGGUAUUGGGGUUGGGUGUAUGGCAUGUUUGGGUUGUAUGUUUGUGUGUUUGUGGAACAAAAGGUUUGACGGACAGGGGUGUGUGUGUGUAUCUGGUCUGACAAUGUUGUUGGGGGUUAGAUGUUGAGGUGUCUGAUGUGUAAGUUUGUUGGCAUGGAUGGUACAAGUACAUAUCCUCGGUGAUGAACUGAAAACCAACCGAUCUGUACCAAGUCAUAUAAGUACGACUUGGUUUUUCUUCAUUUGGCAUCACUGCGUCAGUUAAGACAUGGUCAUGGUAGUGCUUCCAUUUGCGACACUCAUAUCUUGCAAAGCUUUGCCAUGGAUUGAAGUUCCAUUGGUCGUUAACUUUGCGCAGAUGCCAUUCUCCUAGGCUUGCUGGGGGAUCUGGGAUGUUUUGGGGCAUACUGAACUGCAACUUCACACAAUCACUAUUGUGCAUCUCCACAAUUGUGAAUCUUAUUAUCGGUGUGCAUGCAGUCCAUACGGCUGUGUCUUCAGCGUUGACCUCAUGGUCAUGAUCCAAAUUUAGGUAUGGACGCCAAAUGAACUAAAAUGUGAAAGUAACUUGGAUUAUAAACUUGGUAGAAGAAGUUAACAAAUUAUAACGAAAUAAUGAGGUUAUUAUCCUUACGUUUGUCGGUCGAAGGUGAUCCAACAGAUUGCGAUACUGGGUAAUACAGUGUCUAGGACAUCUGUUAUAACUCAUACCAUGUGCCGCCCAUCUACACCAAAAAGGUAAAAAUAUUAGUUAUAGAUAAUAAUCGUUAAAGAAGUAAGUAAAUAUAUCGCAAUUUAAACAACUUACUUUUGUGCAUACAUGAAUGUGAAAGGGUUGUUGUUGACGGGUGCUAGGGAUGGUAGUCUUGACUAACCCCAUGCUUGGAGUAAAACAGCGCAUCCAGAAAAGGUAGAUGUGUGUUUGUGUGAGUUUUUACACAAAGAGCUAUAAAGAUAGGCCAGACAAGCGGAUCCCCAACUGUAAAUUCCUAUUCUAUCUACAUGUCUUAGUAAAGGUAAAUACAUAAUAUGCAUACUAGAACCACUACCUUCGGGAAAUAAAAAAGAACCAAUUAAAAGCAUAAUGUAACACCUAGUUUUUAUUAUUCGAGCAGGUAAAUACAUAAUAUGCAUACUAGAACCACUACCUUCGGGAAAUAAAAAAGAACCAAUUAAAAGCAUAAUGUAACACCUAGUUUUUAUUAUUCGAGCAUCUUCGGUAGAAUGCUCAUCUAAGUGUAGAUUGUUAUAAUAUGACUUAAGGCGUGAAAGGAGUAUACCUUGACCUCUUGAGUUAUCAUCUAACAAAUCAGUCUCCAAGAGGUCCAUGCAAAUUGAAUUUGCAUAGUUGGUUUUAACAUUUACAGCCUUACCUUCAAUGGGCAGUCCCAAAAGCAUAUAAACAUCUUCUAACGUCACGGUACACUCACCGGUUGGGAACCAGAAUGUGUGUGUCUUAGGACGUCAUCUUUCGCAUAAAGCAAGAAUGAAUUUAUUAUCCACCGACCAAGACAUAAUUUUGCUAAUAUGUCCAAAAUCGGCGAGUUCAACAUAAGGUUGAAUCAUCGGGUCCAUGUUGACAUAUUCGUGGACCCGAGUACGGAACCUUGAAACAUCCUAUAAAAGAAAGAACAAAAAACUUUACUAAGUUGAUAUGUUAUUAAAAUAUACUCUAUUAAAACAAAUAACAAAACAAUAAAACGCUUACAUAAGUUGCUAUGUUUGCAACUAUUCCUCUAUGCAAUUCGCCCAUUGUGAGGAUAAACAUCUUGUCGGAGAUGAAAGCGGUUGGUGCAGAUGAAAAAGGUUGUUGCAGAUGAAAGAUUUGAUAUUGUAGAAGAAGUAGUGAGUGAUGGUGUGGAAUAAGUGUUGAUGGUGUGGAUGAAUUUAUAGGCAAAAGUUUGGAGCAUGGAAAAUUGUGUUUGCAUAUGGUAGCCAAAUGAGUUGGCGCCCAUGUGCAUUUUGUACAUGGUGUCGCCAUUCAAAUUGGCGCCUCCAUAGGUACAUGCAUGACACACCUAAGUCUGAAUGCUUGGUUACGAGGUCUGCAUGCAUGCAAGACAUGAUGUCGCCAAAUGGAUUGACGCCCAUGUGCGAGGAUUGUAAGGAGGCGCCAAUUCAUUUGGAGUGUGUGCUUGCAUGUGUGACACAUGGCUUUCCUCUCUCUAGCAUGCUGGACAUGUCACUUUAGACUAGCUUGCAUGUUUGACACAUCAUUUUGGACUAGCUUGCAUGUGUGACACAUCACUUCAAACUAGCUUGCAUGUGAGACAAACCACUUACCUAUUUAAGUGUCUUACUAUCAACAUCCAACACUCAACACACAUUCAUCUGCAAUAAGAAAAUAAUUUUCAUCAACACCAUAAAUAUUACAAUGUCAUCUUCACCAAAAUAUAGUGUCAAUGUUCACUGCAAUGGUGAAACAUACGAGUAUGAGUUAUACAGAUUUUGUUUUUGAAACACCGAUACCAUUCGACUUACGAUCAAGAGAAAUGCAACCUUCUUGCAUUUGAAAAAAAGAAUACAAUCCUGUAUAGGAUCGGGUAUUGUGUCAAAGAUCACGUAUCAAAAUCCAAUAUUUUAUACCAUUCGACUUACGAUCAAGAGAAAUGCAACCUUCUUGCAUUUGAAAAAAAGAAUACAAUCCUGUAUAGGAUCGGGUAUUGUGUCAAAGAUCACGUAUCAAAAUCCAAUAUUUUUUUAGAACAGUUAAUGGAAGUUUUUCCCGCUUAAGGUACGGGAUGAUGAAGAUGUUGAAUACAUGUUUGUUAGUCAUGAAAAUUCAGGCUGCAAUUGUAUUGAGUUGUAUAUUACUCUUCAACCAUGUAUACCAUCUCAGCAGUCUCAAAUAACCAGUCAGGAUGAAUCUGGUGAAUUUGAUCCAUAAUGCUCAGAUGACGUCAACCCAGAAGCAGGAGCAGAAGUGAACAUCGUUGAUGAAGAAGAAGAGGAGACCGAGAUACAGGUCGAUCAUAUGUUGAACAACGACAUUGAAGACGAUGAUCAACCACCGCCAAUACCUCCUAGUCAUGUCUACAAUCCGCCUCAACAUAUGACAAACAUGGAUCGGCAUGACGAUGAAACAUCCAACAAUGUUUUCUAUAACCCGUAUCCACGAUCAGAAGGCGAGUUAAAGGUGGGAGACAUGUUCCGCACCAAAGAAGAAUGUAUGCGAGCUAUCAAAAAAUUCCACAUGAACAACUCUGUUGAUUUUACAGUGAAACACACUGAUUCGAGAAGGUAUAUCAUCGAAAGUCGUAACAUCCUUUAUAAGUUUUGGUUGGCUGCUUCUUACAAAAAGAAAAACGACUCUUGGGAGAUAGCUUCAAUAGACCCACCUCACAAUUGCAUUGCAACUAAUGUUAAACAAGAUCACCUUAAAUUAAGCGUUGCAUUGAUAUGUCAAGACAUUCUGCCGUUGGUUAAUAAAGACCCAUUAGUGAAGGUGAGUAUAAUUAUAUCCUAUAUCAGAAUAAGAUAUGAUUAUACUCCAUCUUACAAGAAAACCUGAAUUGCAAGGACAAAGACUGUUGAAUAGGUAUUCGACAACUGGGAGGAUUCGUACAAAGAAUUGCCACGGUUUUUAUGGGAACUAAAAACAUAUGUCUCAGGAACCGUGGAAAUUAUGGAGACAUUGCCAGCAAUGAUGCCAGACGGAACCUGUGUUACAAGUAAUAAAAUCUUUCACCGUCUCUUUUGGGCAUUUGACCCAUGCAUCAAAGGUUUCGCAUUCUGCAAACCUAUUAUUCAAAUUGAUGACACUUGGUUAUACAACAAAUACAAGGCUACUUUGCUUAUGGCGGUUGCACAAGACGGCAACAAAAAUGUCUUUCCCAUUUCCUUUGCUCUGGUUGAAGAUGAAACGGCUGGUAGAUGGGAUUUCUUUCUUCGACAUCUCAGAAUGCAUGUGGCUCCACAAGUCAAUCUCUGUUUGAUUUCUGAUAGACAUGCUGCCAUUGAGAGUGCCUACAACAACCAUGACAAUGGGUGACAUGAUCCUCCUUCUACCCAUGUCUAUUGCAUUAUACAUAUUGCACAAAACUUCAUGCGUGCAAUAAAAGAUAAGAAUAUUCACAAGAAGGUGGUGAAUAUUGGGUAUGCUCUAACUCAGCUGUCAUUUCAAUAUUAUCGUGAUGAAAUUAGACUGUCUAAUGAAGAUGUAGGAAGAUGGUUGAAUAACAUACCAGUAGAGCAGUGGACAAGAGCAUUUGACGGAGGUUGUCGAUGGGGCCACAUGAUAACAAACCUUGUGGAAUGCGUGAACGGGGUAUUCAAAGGAAUUAGGAAUCUGCCAAUAACCACCUUGGUAAGAUCGACCUAUUAUAGGUUGGCUUCUACGUUCGCAACCAAAGGUGAAAGAUGAAGUGCGAUGUUAAUGUCUGGGAAAGUAUUUAGUGAGUGUUGCAUGAAAGUCAUGAAAGAUGAGAGCAUCAAAGCUAGCACACACGUCAUAACAAUCUUUGACCGUCAUAGGUAAAAUUUCAGCGUCCAGGAAACAAUGAACCAUAACGAGGGGAAACCAAAUUUAGCCUAUGCUGUUAGACUAAACAGAAGUUGGUGCGACUGUGGAAAAUUCCAAACCUUCCGCAUUCCUUGCUCCCAUGUCAUUGCAUCAUGCGCAUAUACUCGUCAAGAUGCUUACAACCAUUUAUCUGAUGUGUACAAGACCGUCACCGUCAUGAAUGUAUAUAAUAAAAGCUUCUCGGUGCUACCAAUGGAGGAAUACUGGCCUCCAUACGAAGGUGAUAUAGUUUGGCACAACGAUGAGAUGCGUAGAAAGAAAAAAGGAAGGCCAAACAACACAGAUAUCAGGACAUAAAUGGAUUCGACUGAUAAAAUGAUAAGAUUAUGUAGUAUCUAUCGUCAAACAGGACACAACAAGAACAACUGUCCCAAUCGAGGAGCAUCAUCUGGGUCAUAAGCUUUUUGUAACAUUGUAUUUUUGUAACCUUCAAUUAUUAUAUAUCAUUAAGUUUUUGUUACAACAAGGUUCACAACAAACAUUAGUACAAAAUAAGCUAACUGAAAACAGAAAUAUUUCUAACUGAUUACAACAAUCAAAGUGAUGUCAUCUCGACCGAACAUCAUUUCCCUAGCAUCCUUAUCAGUUCUCAUUCGCACCCUACGAAAGAUACUAUUGAGUCUAUUAAUACUUAUAAUUUUUCCCCCUUCUGCUAUUUUCCCAUCUAACCAACAAACCAACUCCCUCUUCAGUUGAUUGAACAUAGUGAUGUUCCAGAAGAGCAUCAACAUCUGAGGUUUGUCUCUCGCAUAAAUCACAUUUCCGUAUCGGUGACGAAUACCAAACAUGAUUGCCAAAUGAUGAAAUGAGAUGUGAAAAAAUGAUUCACACAACACAUCUAUUUAUAACAAAAAAAAUGCAUUUUACACUGAGGUGUCAAUCCAAUUGGCGUCUCCUUUGUAAAAAUACACAUGAGUGCCAAUUGGAUUGGCUGCACCAUGUGCCCUAGCCAAUCCAAUUGACGCCUCCACUCUAUUUUUAAUAAGAGUCGCCAAUUGGAUUGAUGUCUCCUCCUAAAAGUGGGGUACUUUGGGAUUUUUUUUGAAACCAGGAUUAUUUUGAGAAUUUUCUUAAAAAAUUGGAUUAUUUUGAUAAAAAAUUCGAAUUGAGAGUGAUAAUGGUUUUUAUCACUUUUUGAUAUGGCAUUGAAAAACUAAAUAUACUUUUAUAGUUAUCAUAGUUAGUUAUAAUUUAUAUUUGUCAUUGAGAAGCUAAAUAUUAAUGUUUUAAAACUCGAAUUCGUCAUUAUCCCAAUCAAACUAUUAGGUCACUAGGUUAAUGGUCAGACUAAUGAUCACUGGUCGAACCGCAUAACUUCUAAUUCAACUAAUUCAAGUUAUACAAAUAAAAAAUUCAUAAAAUAAAAAUCUUGACAUAAUUUCAUAACUAUAAAAUCUACAAAAGAAAAUUCUAUAAAUUUAUCCAUACAAAUAACUUGAAUAACAAACUUUAGUAAAAUUCCAACUUCCAAACAUAUAAUAAUUUAUUGAUGCUCAUAAAUUAUCAAAAAUUGAAAAAGUAAUUGUUUGAUAUCAUAAUACCAUAAACUAGUCAAUUAAUUUAGAACAUAAACAAAUAUUAAAAAUAUAGAGUGAAAGAUAAAAAUCUAAAAAUAAAAACGUUAGUAAGAAUAAUGUGACUUUUACUUUAAAAUAAUAAUGAAAUUUAUAGUGAAAAUAAUGUAAAAAUUUAAUUCUAUCUUCCAUUGAUAACAUAAUUCUUUUUCCAAAUAAUGAGAUCAUAUUAAAAAUAAUGUGAAAAUAUAAUUUUAUUUUUCAUGAUUUUUUUUCUUUAAAACUUUUGUUAAUUUAUAGUAUUAUUAAAUCAUAUAAUUAAUUUCAUACUUUUUAAAUUUAUUAUAUUAUUAUAUAGUAUGAUUAAUAAUAAAUAGAUUUAAUGAGAAUACAUUAGAGAGAAUUAUUGUAACUAUAGAAUAUAUAACUCUUUUCUCUUUGACCAAAUUAAACAUCAAAGGGAUUCAUGAUGUCAUUGAUAAAACUACAAUCCUAAUAGUUUUGAAAGGUUAAAUUUCCGAUUUUAAAAUUUGACAAAAUUUCAUAUUUAUAAUUUUAACAUUAUUUAAUUAUUAUAAAAAUUUUAUAUAAUCAUAAAUAUUAAUAAAAUUAGAUUUUAAAAUAUGAACACCAAAAUUUUAAAAAAAUGAAAAUAGGGGAUCAAAAUUAUAAUUAAGCUAAAACAUAAACCUAAAAAGAUCAACCCUCCAGAUCAAGAAAUUCACUAGUUCAUUGGUCUGACCAGUGAACAGGACGAUUCACACCGAUUUUCAUCAGGUCAAUUGCAACUAUGGUUCGAUGAACUUAUCAGACCACUCUAUCCUCCGAUUUAAGAUCUAAUCGGUCUGACCGAUCGGAACGGUCUGGGUUUGAAAACACUACUAAAUAAUCUUUUGUAAUUUUAAAUUAGUGUAGUAUUAUUGUCUACAGAGUACAUGACCCGCACCAAAACUGACAAUAAUUACUUGUAGGGGAGACAUGCUUGUAGAAUAUUGCUAGUGUAUGGGUAUUUAUUGUAACUUUUUGAGCAAAAGUUAAAAAACAAAGUACAUUUCAAUUUUCAAAUUAAAAAGCUAGAUAAGCCUUGAAAAAAAAUGUAAUAAAGUGAAUGUAUAUUGAUACACAAAAAGACACAGCAUAACUUGUUCACAUUGAAAGAGGUUGGAGAAAAAAAGAAUAUUUAUCUAUCAUUGUCAAAUAUUAAAUUAAAAGUAUAAUAAGUUAAUAAUAAUAAAGAUUGUAAAGAGAAAGAACCUUUCACCGAUUUCUGCAUUUUUAGCUAACGAGAAUUUGAUGAGAAAAGUUGAAGAUGAAGAAAAUGUAAUACAACAUAACUUGUUCACAUUGAAAGAGGUUGGAGAAAAGAACUUUUCACUCCUUUUUUUUACCCGUGUGAAAAAUCAAAACACAGAAAGAGGUUGGAGAAAAUCAAACCAAACACAAAAAUAAAUCAAAGAGGUUAAUUUAACCAAAGAACAUAAUAGAGAGAAUGUGUUGUUGCUAAAGAAGGGUAUAAAGAGAGGUUUAUUUCCAACUUAGUGACAUCAUGAAAAAAUAGAAAAUCUCAUAUGAAAAAAUAGUAAAAAAAUCAGACAUGUUCAUCGAAAAAGAAAAUAGUAACAACGAAAAUAAAUGGACAUGAAAAAAUAUUUAUUUUUACCUGACUUAUCUUUAAGAUCUCUUACUUGAAUUCAUUGCUAAACUUAAUGUAUUGUUUCGCCAUCUAUUGCAAAUAAAAAAUAAUAAACACUUAUUAUGUGUAUUGAAGAAGAUUUCUCAUAAGAACAAAUAAAAAAAUAGAGGAUAUUAAUUGAAAAAGUAAGCAUGACUUAUAUUAUUAAUUAGAACAAAAUCAUGAAAAAAUAAUAAAAAAUAGAAAAUCUCAUAAGAAGAAAUCAUAAACAAUUAUAGAAUGUUCAUGAAAAAAGAAACAAUAAUAAUGAAAAUAAAUGGGCAUGAAAGGAGAUUGCUUUUUAUCUAACUCAAUUUUGAGAUCUGUUACUUGAAUCUUGGCUCAAGUUUGAGAUAUGUUAUGUGAAUGCAUUUUUAUCCCCAAAAUAAGUUAAAAAAUAUGUAAUAGAAACUGAAGCGAAAAAGGAUACAUAAUUGAAAUGAAAAGAAAUCCUGUAAAAAAAUGUCAAAACCGUGUAACACAAGAACAACAUUGAAAGGAAAAAUUUAAUAAAAUACGUUAUCCCUAAAUAACAAAAAAAAGGUGAAAAUAAAAAAUAAUUGAUUAGGAAUACAAGCUAGUUAAAUGAAGAUGAAAAAUAUUAGCCUUCGUAAUGCAAAAAAAAAAAACAGAGAGAUAUAGACAGCUUACCUAGUUGACCAGUUAAAGAGAUGAAUGAGAUGAAGUUUGCAGAGAAAGUUGUAAAUGAGGUUUAUAGAGAAGAUUUGAAAUUGGUUGGAAAGGUGAAGGAGAUGAGAAUUGUUGAGAAAUUUGGAAAUAGGUUGGAGAGAUGAAAGAGAUGAAGUUGGCAAAGAAGGUUUCUAGAAUGGAUUUUUGAAGUAGGUUGAGGAGAGAAGGAGAUGAAGGUGAACAAAUAAAGAUGAAGUUAGAGUUUUGAUAUUGAAGAAAAUAUGAGUGGUAUUAAGAAAGAUGAAAAGGUUUAUUCUUUCAAUAAUGUGAAAUGUGUAAAGAAAUGAUGGAAACCUGCAUAGUCGUAUCUUGGAAGUAGAAAUAUGAAUAAAGUCCAUUUUUUAAUUUUGACAGGUAUGAUUUGUAAAAUGAAAAGGCAUGGAAGCAUAAAGAAGCAAUAAAAAAUUCAAAUCAACAUCAUGUAUUGACAAAGAAAUUUAUGAAAAAGUGCAUAUGAUAAUUCAACACUCUACCGAUGGGAGUUAAAAUAAUUGAGAAAAUUUAGUACUUUCAUUCCAAACUAAUAGUUAUUGCAAAGCCAAAUUAAGAUUUAGUU
rnacentral:lncRNA from 1 species